GACUAUGGCCAUAUUAUCCUGAACAUACCUGAUCUCAUCUGAUCUCAGAAGCUAAGCAGAAUCAAUUAGGCCUGGUUAGUUUUUGGAUGGCAGACCAAUGCCGGGUGCUAUAGGCU
rnacentral:rRNA from 1 species